rnacentral:rRNA from 1 species
CGGCCACAUUGGGACUGAGACACGGCCCAAACUCCUACGGGAGGCAGCAGUGGGGAAUAUUGGGCAAUGGAGGAAACUCUGACCCAGCAACGCCGCGUGGAGGAAGAAGGUUUUCGGAUCGUAAACUCCUGUCCUUGGAGACGAGUAGAAGACGGUAUCCAAGGAGGAAGCCCCGGCUAACUACGUGCCAGCAGCCGCGGUAAUACGUAGGGGGCAAGCGUUGUCCGGAAUAAUUGGGCGUAAAGGGCGCGUAGGCGGCUCGGUAAGUCUGGAGUGAAAGUCCUGCUUUUAAGGUGGGAAUUGCUUUGGAUACUGUCGGGCUUGAGUGCAGGAGAGGUUAGUGGAAUUCCCAGUGUAGCGGUGAAAUGCGUAGAGAUUGGGAGGAACACCAGUGGCGAAGGCGACUAACUGGACUGUAACUGACGCUGAGGCGCGAAAGUGUGGGGAGCAAACAGGAUUAGAUACCCUGGUAGUCCACACUGUA